rnacentral:rRNA from 1 species
UGGGCUAGGAGUUAUUGGGCCUAAAGCAUCCGUAGCCGGCUAUGCAAGUCUCCGGUUAAAUCCAUCUGCUUAACAGAUGGGCUGCCGGAGAUACUACAUAGCUAGGGAGCGGGAGAGGUAGACGGUAUUCGGUGGGUAGGGGUAAAAUCCUCUAAUCCAUUGAGGACCACCAGUGGCGAAGGCGGUCUACCAGAACGCGUUCGACGGUGAGGGAUGAAAGCUGGGGGAGCAAACCGGAUUAGAUACCCGGGUAGUCCCAGCCGUAAACGAUGCGAGCUAGGUAAUGGGAUGGCUACGAGCCAUCCCAGUGCCGCAGGGAAGCCGUUAAGUUUGCCGCCUGGGAAGUACGUACGCAAGUAUGAAACUUAAAGGAAUUGGCGGGGGAGCAC